GUUGACAACCUGGUUCAUAGUAUUCACCAGGAGUGGGCAGGCCUGUGAGCUCAAUGAUAUCAAGAGCUUUAGCUUCAUGAUGGACAUUGCCUGUCAUCCACUCAAGGACCCAAGUCUUUGGAUCCCUGUUGUAGCCUCGAAUGUGGAGAGUUGCAUAGAACUAUAGCAGAAGCUCUUCAUUCCAAUGCUCUUUAUCUGUGACAAACUGCAACAGACCAGCAUCUUUGAAGCAAUAUAACGCUUCUUCAAGGCAGGGCAGGCCAGCUAUAGCUUCAGAGUCGAGGCGCAUAUGUGGAAAUAUGCACUCUUGAUUGUAUAGGAUGCAGGAAUAGUAGCUGCGCUGCUGAUAGCUCCAGAACCGAUCUGAUGAAAUGCGAGGUCUGGUAUAAGGGUUCUUGGAGCUGUUGAAGAAGGUUUUAUGUGCCACUAAGCCAUUCACAUUGAAGACCCCAGGUGAAGUGGCAGUUCCUGGGAAUCAUGGAAGUCUUGGCUUGGGCUUUUGGACUUGAGGUCUGUGCUCGACAUGAUACUCAAAUUGUGGACCCGCAACAGGUGGAGGAACCAGAACGGGCCAGCGGACCAUAACAGGCCGACCAUGAUCAAAUGCCAGCUCAAUUGUAUGAGGUCUUUGAGGGGGAACAGGAGCAUUGACAUUGUCUUCAUGGGCUUCAGGGGCCACAUUGGGUUCAAGUGCUUGUACCUCAGGUGCUUCAGCAUUGACUUCGGGUGCUGUAGUGGCUUCAGAUGCUUGGACUUCUGGCACUGUAGUAGCUUCAGGCAUCGUAUUAGCUUCAGCCAUGACGACGUCAUUGGCUUCAGCGGUGAUGUUAGUGGUUGCCUCAGGGUUGUUAACCUCCACUUCAGGAGCUGGAGGCUUGGACACGUUCUCCUCGAGAACAACAUCUUGGUGGGACAGGGGUGUAGCAACUCUUUCAACUCUUGGUGCUUCUUCUUCAUCGGCUGAUGCAGCCAGAAUAUCUUCAACCAUUUUGGCUUCUGACUCAGACACGUGCAUAGUGGGAGUGACUUGGGGCCUUGGUCCUUUGCGAAGCCUGCGUAAUGCUGGCGACGCUUGUGGAGAUGGAGUGCGCUGGGCCUCAAAGUCAUCGUCUUCUUGCACUGGUGGGGUAGCUUGUGGUUGGGGAGAGCUUGGCGUGUCUUGUCGUUGUGGGUGAUUAGCCCACGAUGCAUCCUGAGCAGUUGGCAUCAUAGGACGACCAAUGCUGAUGAGUUCGCUGUGCGUGAGCACAGGCGAUGAUACCAAUUGGUGCUCGAUCUGAGGAAGGACUUCAUCAUCUGCAACAUUCUCAUGAGGACCAUUGUCUUUAGCUGCGGUGGGGUCAACAGCUAGAUUGUCUUCAGCUUCAGGAGCCUCUGGAGAAGCAGGCUCAUGAAUUACCACUUGGCAUUCUGGAUUUUCAGACGCAGGACGAGCCACUGAGAUUGGCUCGACAUUAAGGGGCUCUGUGGGAGCAGCCCGAUCUCGAUUCUUGGUUUUUCAUUUCUUGGUUGGAGGAGCAUCAUCAGUAGUGCCCUUGGUUUUGCGUAGCAGCCCUUGUUUUCUUCAGUUCCGAAGCCAUUGUGGGGACCUUAGGCUUCGAGCUUGUCAUACUGGCUGGGAAGACAAUUGGAUGUACUUCCUGCCUUGGUGCUUCAGGUUCUGCCACAGCUGGCUUCUUCUUCUUCUUGGCCACCAUUUGGGGGUCGAUCCCUGGUCACCCCAAGGCCUUGCGCUUUUCAGCCUCAAUGUACCCUUGGACACAUUUAGCGGAAGGAUCCUUCAUGCAUUCACGAGAACCCUUGGCUUCUUCACAUUUGGUUCGAAAAGCUUCCUUAAGCUCAUGCAUCAUGGUCUGGAAGUUCUGAAUGUCUUCAACGUCGAGCUUGGCCAUGUGCUUCUUGAACUGAGCCUUUUCAUAAUCGAUCUUAUGCUCCAGUUCAACAAUCUUCUGAGCUAGAGCCAGCUCAGCAGCAAUGGCUCCAUGGAAGGCGACGCUCAGGCCAAUCGGAAGCUGAAGAUCAUCAAAGCUGACAUUUGGGCUGUCAAACCAAUCAUCAAUGAAGGUGUCGAUGAUUUCAACAUCAAAGAGAGGAAGGUCAUUGAAGAUUUCUGCCUCUUGCUUCCUCUUGAUCAGCUGCUCAAGAGCAUCAUCACCAAGAUCGUCGUUGCUGGACAGAUCAAUGGCGUCAUUGCACAGAAUAGCAGCAGCAGUCAGUUAUUGGCUAGUGGGUUGCAAGGGCAUCUUCACUCUGGAGGGCUUGGAGAUGCGUGAAAAAUCUUCAGACUGCACACUGUGUUCAGGAGGUGUAGUGGCCAGAGGCUUCGCCUGUAAGACCUUUGGUGCAGGAGCAGGCUUUGAAGCUUUAGGCUUUUUCAGUUUCUUUAGCUUCGGUGGUGCAGGCGCUUCAUCAGAUUCAGCGUCGUCUGCAGGCUCAUCCACGGCUGUCCCUUGAACCAUGAUAUGAGUGAUGAGACCUUAUAGGUUGUAGAAGGGCCCAACAAGAUUGGGUUCAGCUUCGCGUGUGCCAUCGGCACAAGGAGUAGAGGGUUAAAGUCUAAGCCUCGUGACUUGUUGUUCUCUUUGGCCGAGUUCCUGGAAAACUAAAGGUUGCGCUUGAACAGAUUAUCGUCGCGGCACCACAGUAAUGAAGAUGGGUCUGCAUCUGCAGGCUGUGGCCACACACCAUGCAAGGGUAGAAGCCUUGUUCAAUGGCUUCAGCUCUGGACCUGGGUUGAAGAUUUCUGUAUAGAAUGUCUCCCCAUGGUCGUUUGAUGGCAUUCUUCUCAGCAUACUCUUGGGUCACGAACCUGUACUUGAACCACUGUUCUGCCCAAUAUCUUCGAAUCCAUUGGAUUCGAGUUUUUCGCUGAUUGUAGUCCUCCUCUGGAUCUGCCUUGUACACCACAUAGAGGUCAGGAGGCAAAUCUCUUGAGGUGUUGCCACGAUGCUGUCUGCCACCCUUCCUUGCAGAUUUCUCGGGUGCCAUGAAGUUUAAACUAAAAGGCUUCAAAGUUGUCAAAGUCUUCCGUCUACUGGUCAGACAAGAACUGGCUUCAGGAGAAUUUAUAUGAUGCUGUAAGAAUUCUGCAAAUGAAUGCAGACUAUGAGAACCAAGGGAUUCUCCCACGGACAUGUACCUGUGACAGCAUUAAGGUGCGAGGGAAGGGGAAGAGGUUAUAUGCAUUCUCAGAAGAUUUUGAAGAUAAAUCAGUUUAGAAGACAUUGACCUCAUAGUGCAAAGACAUUCACUCAUAGAUAGAGAGUUGGUUCCAGAUUUGUACAAAUCCACGAAUAAGUACAAGUGACGAAUCUAACUACUUUGUGAAGCAUAAGUGAACAUUCUAGGCAUAUUUAUGAGAUGCAGUAUGAAAUAGAUUCAACUUGUGUGAAUAGAAACUGCUUGUGGUAGAAAAUGAUGAAUCUAUAGGAUCAAAGGGGCCGUAAAAGGAGGUUUUAUUUACUACACAAAGAACUGCUAGACGAAGUGGAAGGGGAGGCCGAGCAGUUCGAAUCUUCCAUGCCCUAACUUGGUGACGGAGGACACCUACGGCGACGACGGAGAAGACGAUGUCCGCAGUCGGCGUGAAGACGACAUCGGUGAGGUCGCGGCAGCAUAGCGCUUCGUCGCCGGCAUCGUCGAGGGAUAGCGGUGGCGCUAGGGUUUGUGCGAGAGUGGAAGAAAGGAUAAUGACUGUGGUGAGGCGUGUAUUUAUAGGGAUAGGGACGACACAGUGUUAUUACACAGGUGCCCCUGGCGAUUCACAUCUGAAGGACAUGUGGCUAUCAUGCAACACAUCGGAGGUUGUUCCAUGUUCCCACACACGCUUAGAUUGUCGAGUGGUCGUUCCCACUUCUUCGGGUUUCAGGUGAAAGGAUUUAGCAUUGAAAAUGGAUUAAUGUUUGUCUCUGUGUCUUCUGCUGACAAGGAUGCAGAGAAGACAUUUUGAUAGUGUCAAUUGAAUGCAUAUGAUUUGGAUAGAUAGACUUGAGAUAGAAGCAUAGAGGGGUUAGGGUCCGAUCACAUUCACUUAGGUCAAAAGAUUCAAUGUGAAGACAUAGCUAUAAGUGAAUGUUGUAGAGGAUAGAAACCAAAUUGAAGAUAAACAUGAGAACUUUUAAUCAUUGAAGACAAACAAAAUGCGAAGACUUUGCAAAUGUAACGCCAUGAGAUAGACACUUCAUAGGGAAAAUGUUGGUGGUGGCGUUACCCACCGUAUAGGAAAUAUUAGACCCAGACAUGGCGCACAAUUAUCGUGGUGCUCUGAAGUCAAAUUCCACAUUAAUAUAUUCACACUCAGAAUGUAAGUCUUCAUUGUUUGAAGAUAUACUUUACUUCGUGUGUUGCACAUCUAAGUCGCCAACAUGCUUAAGUGUUAGGAUGUGUGCCUAAUCACAGGACAUUUGAGGAUUCCAAGAUAUUUAGCUCACACCAUAACUUGCAAAACCUCUUCUCAUCCAAGGGCUUGGUGAAGAUAUCUGUCAAUUGCUCUUCAGUGUUGACGUGUAUGAUAUCAAUAUCUUCCUUCAUAACAUGAUCUCUGAGAAAGUGAUGACGAAUUUCAAUGUGCUUUGUCUUCGAGUGCUGAACUGGGUUGUUGGCAAUCUUGAUGGCGCUUUCAUUGUCGCAAUAGAGUGGCACUUGCUUCAGAUGAAUGCCAUAGUCUUUGAGUGUUUGCUUCAGCCAUAGAAGCUGAGCACAGCAAGAUCCAGCAGCAAUGUAUUUAGAUUCAGCCAUGGAGAGAGAUACACAGUUCUGCUUCUUUGAAGACCAACAUACAAGUGAUCGUCCCAGAAAAUGACAUGUGCCUGAUGUAGACUUGCGAUCCACCUUGUCACCAGCAUAAUCAGCAUCCGAGAAUCCAGCUAGAUCAAACUCCGAGCCCUUUGGAUACCAUAAUCCUAGUGUUGGGGUGUGAGCCAAAUAUCUGAGAAUUCGCUUGACAGCUAAGUGAUGCGAUUCCUUUGGUGCCGCAUGGAACCGGGCACACAUGGAAACACUAAGCAUGAUAUCUGGCCUAGAUGCACAUAAUAAAGCAAGGAACCAAUCAUGGAGCGGUAUACCUUUUGAUCGAACUCUUUACCAUUGUCGUCGGGACCCAGAUGGUGUUUGGCUGGCAUUGGCGUCAUGUAGCCUUUGCAGUCUUGCAUUCCAAAUUUCUUCAGGCAAUCUUUGAGGUAUUUCUCUUGGGAUAUGAAGAUGUCGUUGCGUUGCUGACGUAUUUGAAGACCAAGGAAGAACUUCAGCUCACCCAUCAUGGACAUUUGAUAUUGCUCUUGCAUCAUGUAUCCAAACUCAUCACUGUAUUUCUGAUUAGUGCAGCCGAAGAUAAUGUCAUCCACAUAUAUUUGGCACACAAACAGUUCACCAUCAUAUGUCUUCGUGAAGAGAGUGGGAUCGAGAGAGCCAGGUUUGAAGCCUUUGCUCUUCAGAAAGUCUUUGAGUGUGUCAUACCAAGCCCGAGGGGCUUGUUUGAGGCCAUACAGUGCCUUGUUGAGCUUGUACACCAUGUCAGGAUGUUUUGGAUCUUCAAAGCCAGGUGGUUGUGCAACAUACACUUCUUCUUCAAUCUUGCCAUUGAGAAAAGCGCUCUUCACAUCCAUUUGAUAUAGAAGAAUGUUAUGAUGAUUUGCAUAGGCCAGCAAUAUGCGUAUAGCUUCAAGCCUAGCCACAAGCGCAAAUGUUUCAUCAAAGUCAAUCCCUUCAACUUGAGUGUAUCCUUGAGCAACGAGACGAGCUUUGUUUCCGACAACUUGACCAUGCUCAUCGUGCUUGUUGCGAUAUAUCCACUUAGUGCCUAUUAUAUUGUGCUUGCGAGGACCAGGACGCUUAACCAGUUCCCACACAUUAUUCAGCUCAAACUGUUGAAGCUCUUCUUACAUAGCUUGAAUCCAUUCAGGUUCCAUGAAGGCUUCAUCAACUUUCUUGGGUUCAGAUAUUGAGACGAAUGCGAAGUUCCCAUGGAAGUUAGCUAGCAGUGUUGCCCUUGAACGAGUGAGUGGACCUGGUGCAUUGAUGCUGUCAAUUAUCCUUUCAAUCUGUACUUCAUUUGCAACACGAGGAUCGACAGGACAAAGAUUUUGCUCUUGCUUAUCAUUAUCAUCGUUAGAAGGAUUGUCUUCAGGAUGAGCAUUGUCUUCAGAUUGAUCAGGUGCAGAGAUGAUAAGUUCCUCUUCAGGCUGAGCUUCAGAUGGUAUGAUUUCUCCAGUUGCCAUAAGUUUGAUUGAGUCACUGGAUGGAACUUCAUCUAGCACAUUUGGUAGGUGCUCUCUUUGCGAGCCGUUAGUCUCAUCGAACCGCACAUCCACAGUUUCAACCACUUUAUAGUGAAAGAGGUUGAAGACUAUGUAGGAGUGCGAAUCCUUUCCAUAUCCAAGCAUAAAACCUUCAUGUGCUUUCGGUGCAAAUUUUGAAGUGUGAUGUGGAUCCUUGAUCCAGCACCUGGCGCCAAAUACUCUGAAGUAACUGGCAUUUGGCUUCUUGCCAGUAAGGAGCUCAUAGGAUGUCUUGUUCAGAAGCUUGUGAAGAUAAACACGGUUGAUGAUAUGGCAUGCAGCACCAAUGGCUUCAGGCCAGAACUUUCUUGGAGUCUUGUAUUCAUCAAGCAUCGUCCGGGCCAUCUCAAUAAGUGUUCUGUUCUUGCGUUCCACGACGUAAUUCUGCUGCGGCGUGUACGGAGUUGAGAAUUCAUGUGUGAUGCCCAAAGUAUCAAGAUAACUAUCUAGGCCAGUGUUCUUGAAUUCAGUGCCAUUGUCACUUCUGAUGUGCUUGAUCUUGACGCCAUAGUUGUUCAUGGCUCGAUUGGCGAAGCGUCUGAAGACAUCCUGCACUUCAGUCUUGUAGAGGAUUAUAUGCACGAAAGUAUAUCUUGAAUAAUCAUCAACAAUGACAAAGCCAUAGAGACAAGCAGUAGUAGUAAGAGUUGAGUAAUGAGUGGGACCGAAAAGGUCCAUGUGGAGCAGUUCGAAGGGUUGCGUCGUUGUCAUGAUUGUCUUCGAGGGAUGCUUGGCCCUCGUCAUCUUUCCUGCUUCACAGACACCACAUAAGUGAUCCUUCUUGAACUUGACGCCCUCGGUGCCUAUGACAUGAUUCUUCUUUGCAAGGGUGUGCAGGUUCCUCAUGCCAGCAUGCCCUAGCCUCCGAUGCCAGCGCCAACAUUCAGAAGCUUUUGCUAGAAGACAUACGUCAAGUUGAGGUCCUGCUGAGAAAUCUACCACGUACAAGUCAUCUUUCCAAUACCCUUCAAAGACUAGAGAUUUGUCAGAUUCCAUUAGAAGAAGGCAACGAUAUUUUCCAAACAUCACAAUCAUGUUCAAAUCGCAAAGCAUUGAGACAGACAUUAAGUUGAAACCAAGGGAUUCAACAAGUGUUAGCAAAUGUGAUGUGACUUUAUCCAUGUGUUGAUCCCUUGAGAUUGCAACUCUACCUAGACCCAAUACCUUGCUUUUACCAGUGUUAGCAAAUGUGAUGUGACUUUUGUCUGAUGGACAUAAGGUUGAGUCCAUGAGAAGACUUCGCUUGCCAGUCAUAUGAUUAGUACACCCACUAUCAAUAAUCCAUUCUGAAGCAGCUGGUGUUGUACCCUAUAGUGCAGUUAGGGGGAUAGGCUUCAGGAAGAGAAUUGUGAAGCAUAAACAUUUGACGAGCAAGUGGAUUAUGAAAGCUUAGAUCGAGGUUAGGACUGAUAGGGCAAGUAGCAAGCGACUCAGGAACAAAAUACAUAAUAAGACCAUUUGGGCAUUUCAUCUUGCGCCCUACAAGAUGUUUAAGGUCCCCAGCAAUAGCUUCAGACGAAUUUGAUUGUUGGCUGGAGACCUUUCCCUGCAAAAGAGAGUUAAGCUUUCUUAGCCACCCACAUCUUCAAGGGUGGCUUCGAAGCAAUGAGUCUAAGUGCAGCAUCUGAGAAUUUUGGCUUUGGAGCCCUAGCAAAAAGUCUCGCAGGUGGACAAUAGUACUCAUAAGAAUAAGCAGAGUAGUUCUUGGUCUUAUGAGCAUGGCGGUUUGAUGAAACACGCUCAUAUUCAUAGGCCUAAGUAUGGCUUUCCUGCAAAACAUUUGCAUUAGUGCGACUCAGGUGAGUCCUUUGUCUGUAUGAAGCCUUUGGACCAUAUGAAGCCUGUGGUCUGGGGUUUGUCUUCUUCACUUGUGGUGUCAUGACGACAUUCACAGGAAGAUUCUCCAACAACCUUUUCGGCACCCAGACUUUCUUCAUAGGUGGCCCAUUCCUACAGUUAGUACCAAUAUACCUGGCAAACACUUCACCAUUCUGAUUCUUAAACAGUUUAUAGUUUGGAUCAAAUGAUUCAUCAAUAACAAUGGGAUUAGCACAAUUGAAGCCUGACAGAGUGGAUGGAUCCACUGAGGGUUCCUUUGCAGCAACCCAUGUGGUUUUGGCGUACUGCUCAGGUUUCCAGUAAGAGCCAUCAGCAUUCAUUUUCCUUUCGAACCCAAGACCCUCCUUUCUAGGGUUUCGGUUCAGGAUCUGCCUUUUGAGGACAUCACAUAGUGUCUGAUGCCCUUUGAGACUUUUGUACAUCCCUGUUUCAAGCAAUGUCUUCAACCUAGCAUUUUCAUCAGCAAUUGCAGUGGUAUCCUCAGCAGAGGGGUUAGUUACCACAUCAACAGUUGAAGAUAUUGCAAUAGUAGCAGCAGUAGAACAUCCAGGAAUAGAAGUAGUGUUGUCACGCUCAAUACAUUUAAGAGAUGGUGGUUCAAAUCCUUCCUAAGCGGGACUGAUCUGUUUGGCACGAAGUGACUCAUUUUCCUUUUGAAGAUCUUCAUGAGCCGCUCUCAAUUUCUCAAGUUCUUGCUUCCUUUGAAGAUAAUCAUAGGAAAGCUUUUCAUGAGUUGUUGAGAGCGAUUCAUGACGACUUUCAAGUUCCUCAUACUUAACAUGAAGAUUUUUUAUGUCUUCAAUUAAGGACUGAGAUCGAGUCAUUUCAGCGUCUAAUAGGUCAUCGCUUUUGUCUAAUAGUUUUAGAAUAUGUUCCAUAGCUUUCUGUUGUCCAGUUGCAAUUUUAGCAAGUGUUUUGUAGCUGGGUUUGGAAACACAAUCAGAGUCAUCUUCACUGGAUGUUUGAUAGUGAGUAGUGCAUGUGUUUACCUUGGCACCACGUGCCAUGAAGCAGUAGGUGGGAGCGGAGUAGUCCUUGUCAUUUGCAUCAGUGUCGGUGAUGAAGUCAUUGUCUUCAGUGUUGAAGAUGGACUUGGCAACGUAUGCUGUAGCCAGGCUCGCAACGCCAGAAUCAGACUCCUCCUCAGAUUCCACCUCCGCCUCCUCAGAAGCGGACUCCUCCUCUGAAUCCAUUUCCUUGCCAACAAAUGUACGAGCCUUGCCAGAUGAGCUCUUCUUGUGUGAUGAAGACUUUUAGGAAGACUUGGAAGAAGACUUUGAGUAUUUCUUCUUCUUGUCGUCAGAAUCAUACUCCUUUCUCUUCUUUUUCUUCUUGUUCUCAUUGUCCCACUACGGACACUCAGAGAUGUAGUGGCCAGGUUUCUUGCACUUGUGGCAUGUUCUCUUCUUAUAAUCAUGAGCAGAAGCUUCAUCAUUCCUUGAGCUUGAUCGUGAAGACUUUCUAAAGCCUUUCUUAUUGGUGAAUUUUUGGAACUUCUUCACAAGCAUAGCAAGCUCCUUUCGAAUGUCUUCAGGAUCAUCGGAACUACUGUCGGAUUCUUCUUCAGAUAAGGAGACAACUUUUGCCUUCAAGGCACGAGUUCGCCCAUAGUUGGGACCGUAGAUGUCUCUUUUCUCAGAAAGCUGAAACUCAUGUGUGUUGAGCCUCUCAAGUAUGUCAGACGGAUCGAGUGUCUUGAAGUCAGGACGGUCUUGAAUCAUCAGGGCUAGGGUGUCAAACAAGCUGUCAUGUGAUCUCAAGAGUGUCUUGAUGACUUCAUGCUUGGUGAUCUCAGUAGCGCCGAGGGCUUGAAGCUCAUUUGUGAUGUUAGUGAGUCGAUCAAACAUGAGCUGGACAUUCUCAUUGUCAUUUCUCUUAAAGCGGUUGAAGAGGUUGCGAAGGACACUGAUUCUCUGAUCUCUCUGGGUUGAGACGCCUUCGUUGACCUUGGAGAGCCAGUCCCAGACUAGCUUAGAUGUUUCCAAAGCAAUCACACGGCCAUACUGUCCUUUGGUCAGAUGACCACAGAUGAUGUUCUUGGCAGUGGAGUCCAGUUGAACGAACUUCUUGACAUCAGCAGUGGUGACACCUUCACCAGCCUUGGGAACGCCAUUCUUGAGGACAUACCAUAGGUCGACGUCAAUGGCUUCAAGGUGCAUGCGCAUCUUAUUCUUCCAGUAGGGAUAUUCAGUUCCAUCGAAGACUGGCACGCAACGGAGACUUUGAUUAUCCCUGCAGUCGACAUAGCUAAAACUCCAGGUGGUUAAACCAAAUCACACAGAACAAGGGAGUACCUUGCUCUGUUACCAAUUGAAAGUGCUAGUGAUCGACUAGGGGGGGUGAAUAGGCGAUUUUUAUGAAAGUCUUCAAAACAUGGAAGUUUUUAAGACAAACGAUAGAAAUAAACCUAUUAUCAUGCAGCGGAAGGUAGACUACCCUAAGCAAGCCAUAGUCAAGUAUUCAAUGAAGUGAAAGUACAACAACUAAUAGCAGCUAGGCAGUAUAGAUCAGGUUGGAAGAUAGUGUGAAGCCAAUCAGAACAAGCGGUCACUCAGUGAAGACAAAAGAUAAUGCAAUCAUACAAUGACUUCACUAGAGCCAACAGUAAGUAAAGGAAUGGGAAGGAUGAAACCAGUGACUCGUUGAAGACAAUGAUUUUUUGGACUAGUUCCAGUUGCUGUACAACUAUACGUCUGGUUAGGGAGGCUGAGAUUCAACUCAGAAGACCGUGUCUUCACCUUAUUCUCCUUGAGCUAAGGACACCAGUCCUCACCCAAUCACUCUGGUAAGUCUUCAAGGUAGACUUCCAAACCUUCACAGACUUCGUUCAUCGGCGAUCCACAAUGACUCUUGGAUGCUCAGAACGUGACGCCUAACCGGCUGGAGGAUUCACAGUCCUCAAGUGUAAUAAGUCUUCUGAUCACACAGAUAGGAAGACUUAAGUGGCCUAACACUCUUUGGCUCUGGGUGUUUAGGGCUUUAUCCUCGCAAGGAAUUCUCUCUCAAAGGCUUCGAGGUGGGUUGCUCUCAAACGGCAGAAGCCAUACACUAACUCUGAGCAGCCAACCGUUUAUGGUUGUAGGGGGUGGGCUAUUUAUAGCCAGUUGGCAACCCGACCUGAUUUGUCCGAAAUGACCCUGGGUCACUAAAGAACUGACACGUGUUCCAACGGUCAAAUUUCAAACACACAUGGCAACUUUGCUUGAGCUACAAGCAAAGCUGACUUACCCAGCUCUGGAUAAGAUUUGCUCUCAUUGUCUUCGCUCGAAGAUAUAUGAUUUUGGUUUAGCAUCACUUCAGUCAUUCUGACUGGUUCACUUGGACCCCACUUAACAGUACAGUGGUUCCUAUGACUCAACAAAGAAGAAAAGGAAUGACGAAUAAACUAAGUCUUCACACUCCAUAGUCUUCACUCGAUGUCUUAUCUUGUCAUAGUCUUCAAUGUGACUGUCUUCACAUACCACCUUUGACUUCAAUGUUUUUAUACAUUUUUAAGGGUCAUCUCUGGUAGGAAAAUUGAAUCAAUGAGGGACUUCUAGCUGUGUUAUCCUGCAAUUCUCACAAACACAUUAGUCCCUCUACCAGGUUUGUCGUCAAUACUCCAAAACCCAGUAGGGGUGGCACUAGAUGCACUUACAUGCUUGUUAUGUUCUUGGACUGUAGCAUCAUUGUUUCAUGCCUCCAGCAUGUCAAUGUGUUAUUCCUGCUCACAUGUAUGCCAUGUUUUUCACUAAGUCAUAAUCUGUGUUAUAAAGUUUCCUUUUGCUUUGCUCAUGUUGGAUUAAUCUUCAUGCCUAUGAACCUGAACCCUAAUGAUAAUUGAAGUAUGUAAUCUAUACCUUAAGUGCAUAUCAUGUUUGUGCCUAUCUUGUUCUUGUAGCAUGUUGUUAUGAUGCUUGUAAGAUGCCUAGUUGCUGUUUUGGACAGCUUGUCCUCUAACCUUGUUUCGUGUGUAUGUGUUGAACCGUGGCUCCGAUUGGAGCAUGCUCUAUAUGAAACUUAGUUGGUUUUGCAUGUAGUUUCAUCAUGCCAUGUUGCUUCCAUGUUUUGGAGUGUUUGUGAUUGUCUUUUGCUUGCAUUUGCAUCAAUGUCAUGUUGACUUGUUUUGCGCAUAUCUUCUAGGCCGUAGCCCCGAAUUAAGUGAACAUUAUAUGUAACUUGAUUAGAAUAGCAUGUAGACCAUCAUGGUGCAUAUUAACUUGCUUUUUAACAACUUCAACAUAUUGUGGUAUUCAGAUCUGAACCAAUUUUGAAAUUUGCAUACGAGGACUUACCGAAAUUGUUAUGUGUUGUUUCCGGUCUCAUUUAAACUUGCUUUGAUGUGUUGUUUUUGUAUGCAUCCUCUCUAUCUGGAAUUGUUAUGUGAUAUUCAGGGAUGUGCACACGGUUAUGUGGCAGAUGGAAAUUUUUUAAUAUCUAGUUGUAGUGGACUUUAACUAAUCUCAAUUAAAAUACAUCAACCGCGUGCGUAACCGUGACGGUCUCUUUUCGAGUGCGUUGAGAAGAGAACACGAUGGAGUUAUAUUUGAAUGUAAGUAGUUCAGGAUCACUUAUUGAUCAUUACUAGUUGUGACCAUCUGCGUAGUUUCUCAUCUUGCUCUUGUACUCAUAAGUUAGCCACCAUAUAAUGCUUAGUCGCUUGCUGCAACCUCACCACUUAUCUAUUCCAUACCCAUUAAGCUUUGCUUAUCAUGAUACCCAUGGUAAUGGGAUUGCUGAGUCCUCGUGGCUCACAGAUUACUUCAACAACAGUUGCAGGUACAGGUAACGUGAUGAUCAUGACGUGAGAGCGAUGUUUAUUUGUUUUGGAGUUCUUGUUCUACUUCUUCUUGGAUCACGGGAUAGGUUCCUGGUCGGCAGCCUGGGCUAGCAGGGUGGAUGUCGUUUGGGUUUCUGUUUGUUUUUCAUUCAUAGUCGGAUGUUGUUCUCAUGUAUGAUGUUUGAUGUAUUUUUGUGGAUUUGUAUGCCUUGUAUGUAUCCCCAACUAUUAUCUAAUGGUGCCAUGUAAUGAUAUGCACCUUGCAAAAGCGUUUCAAUAUGCAGAUCUAUCCUUGGUGGGACCUUCGAGUUCCUCUCGGAUAGGAUCGCAUAUUGCGCAUGACAGAAAUGUUCAUCCAGAGCCAACCAACUGGCUCGACUCACCACGUCUCGACUCAUUAUUCAUACUGCGCGCACGGUAGCAACAGUCGUUGUUCAUCGAGAGGCAACCCAACAUUGGCUGGCUACGUAUCGCAUGGGGGAUGGAUCGGCUACAGUAAGCAGCAAUAGUGAUCGAUCACUUGGGUUCAGUUAGCAGCAGCAGCCAAGGAAUCGCUCGGGUUCAGUCAACAGCGAAUGAAUCGCUCAAGUUCAGUUAACAGCAAAGCGAUCGAUCGCUCGGGUUCAGUAACAUGCGACCGCUCGGGUUCAGUUAGCCAACACCUCGCACAUACGUGCAUACACGAGAGAAAUGUGGAUACCUCCAUGCAUUGCUUCGCCCCGACCACCCACUGUAACCGGAAACUCCCUGAUAUUUUCCUCGCCCUUGCUUCUGCCAUGGUUUUUUCCGUCAUGGACGACCCAAAUAAUGUCAUGCAACUGUGUCUCUAGCCCGCCCAGGACGAAAAGCCCAUUUUCUGUCAUAGAAGUAGGAUCCCACUGAAGGAAAUAUGCCCUAGAGGCAAUAAUACAGUUAUUAUUUAUUUCCUUAUUUCAUGAUAAAUAUUUAUUAUUCAUCCUAGAAUUGUAUUAACCGGGAACAUAAUACAUGUGUGAAUACAUAGACAAACAAAGUGUCACUAGUAUACCUCUACUUGACUAGCUCGUUGAUCAAACAUGGUUAUGUGUCCUAAACCAUAGACAUGAGUUGUCAUUUGAUAAACGGGAUCACAUCAUUAGGAUAAUGAUGUGAUUGACUUGACCCAUUCCGUUAGCUUAGCACUUGAUCGUUUUAGUUUACUGGUAUUGCUUUCUUCAUGACUCUUAUACAUGUUCCUAUGACUAUGAGAUUAUGCAACUCACGAUUACCGGAGGAACACUUUGUGUGCUACCAAAUGUCACAACGUAACUAGGUGAUUAUAAAGGUGCUCUACAGGUGUCUCCGAUGGUACUUGUUGAGUUGGCAUAGAUCGAGAUUAGGAUUUGUCACUCUGAUUGUCGGAGAGGUAUCUCUGGGCCCUCUCGGUAAUGCACAUCACUAUAAGCCUUGUAAGCAAAGCAACUAAUGGGUUAGUUGCGGGAUAGUGCAUUACGGUACGAGUAAAGAGACUUGCCAGUAACAAGAUUGAACUAGGUAUUGAGAUACCGAUGAUCGAAUCUCGGGCAAGUAACAUACCAAUGACAAAGGGAACAACGUAUGUUGUUAUGCGGUUUGACCGAUAAAGAUCUUCGUAGAAUAUGUAGGAGCCAAUAUGAACAUCUAGGUUCCGCUAUUGGUUAUUGACCGGAAACGUGUCUCGGUCAUGUCUACAUAGUUCUCGAACCCGUAGGAUCCGCACGCUUAACGUUUGGUGACGAUCGGUAUUAUGAGUUUAUGUGAUUUGAUGUACUGAAGGUAGUUCGGAGUCUCGGAUGAGAACAGGGACAUGACGAGGAGUUUUGAAAUGGUCGAGACGUAAAGAUCGAUAUAUUGGACGACUAUACUCGGACAUCGGAAAGGUUCCGAGUGAUUCGGGUAUUUUUCGGAGUAUCGGGGAGUUAUGGGAAUACGGGAAGAAGUAUUGGGCCUCAUGGGCCAAGUGGUGGAAGAGAGGAGGCAAGGCACGCAGCCCCCUAGCCCAAACCGAGUUGGACUAGGGGGCCGGCCACCCUUUCCUCCUUUCCUCCCUCUCCUUCCUUCUCCCCUUCCCCCUUCCUUUCCUGCUUCUAGUAGGAGUACGAAAAGGGGAGUCCUACUCCUUCUAGGGGGAGGAUUCCUCCUCCUGGCGCGCCCUAGGAGGGCCUGCCGGCCUCCCCCUUUCUCCUUUAUAUACGGGGGCAGAGGGGCACCCGAGGACACAGAAGUUGAUCAUUGAUCCCUUAGCCGCUGUGCUGAUGGAACUCUCCCAUGAAGCUCUGUUGGAUCGGAGUUCGUGGGACGUCAUCGAGCUGAACGUGUGCUGAAGUCGGAGGUGCCGUGCGUUCGGUACUUGGAUCGGUCGGAUGAUGAAGACGUACAACUACAUCAACCACAUUCUCACAUCACUUCCGCUUACGGUCUACGAGGGUAUGUAGAAGAUACUCUUCCCUCUCGUUGCUAUGCAUCACCAUGAUCUUGCGUGUGCGUAGGAAAUUUUGAAAUUACUAUGUUCCCCAACAGUGGCAUUCGAGACAGGUUUAUGCGUAGUUGUUAUAUGCACGAGUAGAACACAAAGGAGUUGUGGGCGUGGGUAUAUAUAUAUUGCUUGCCGUCACUAGUUGUAUCUGAAUUCAGAGGCAUUGCUGGAUGAAGCGGCCCAAACAAACAUUACGCGUACGCUUACACUAGACUGGUUCUGCCGACGUGACUCGUGUUGGGGAACGUUGCAGAAAAUUAAAAUUUUUCCUACGGUUUCACCAAGAUCGAUCCAUGAGUUCAUCUAAUCAACGAGUCAAGGGGAAGAGUUUGCAUCUACAUACCACUUGUAGAUCGAGUGCGGAAGCGUUCAAGGGGAUGGUGAUGGUGGAGUCGUACUCGUCGUGAUUCGGAUCACCGAUGACCAAGUGCUGAAUGGACAGCACCUCCGCGUUCAACACACGUACGGGACGGAAGACGUCUCCUCCGUCUCGAUCCAGCAAGGAGGAAGGAGAGGUUGAGGAAGGCAGCUCCAACGUCAGCACGACGGCGUGGUGUAGUUGGUGCAGCAGUACUCCGACAGAGCUUCGCCAAGCACGUACGGAGGAGGAGAGGUGUUGGGGAGGGGAGGGGCUGCGCCUUGGCUUGUAGUACCGCAGCCCUCCCCUCACCCCUCUAUAUAUAGGAGGAGAGGGGCAAGGGGGCCGGCCCUCUAGGGGAAACCCUAGAGGGGGCCGGCGGCCAAAGGGUGGGGGGCUUGCCCCCCAAGCAAGGGGGGUGCGCCCCCUUUAGGGUUUCCCCUCCCCUUGCCCUAGCCGCAUGGGCCUAGGUGGGGAGGCGCGCCCAGCCCACUAGGGGCUGGCUCCCUCUCCCACACAGCCCAUGUGGCCCCCCCGGGAGGGGUGGCCCCACCCGGUGGACCCCUGGAACCCUUCCGGUGGCCCCGGUACAAUACCGGUAUGCCACCGAAACUUUCCGGUGUCCGUUUAACCACUUUCCAUAUAUAAAUCUUUACCUCCGGACCAUUCCGGAACUCCUCAUGACAUCCGGGAUCUCAUCCGGGACUCCGAACAACAUUCGGUAGUCACAUACAAGUCUUUCUAAUAACCCUAGCAUCACCGAACCUUAAGUGUGUAGACACUAUGGGUUCGGGAGACAUGCAGACAUGACCGAGACUCUCCGGUCAAUAACCAACAGCGGGAUCUGGCUACCCAUGUUGGCUCCCACAUGCUCCUCGAUGAUGUCAUCAGAUAAACCAUGAUGUCGAGGAUUCUAUCAAACCCCGUAUACAAUUCCCUUUGUCAAUCGGUAUGUUACAUGCCCGAGACUCGAUCGUCGGUAUCCCAAUACCUCGUUCAGUCUCGUUACCGGCAAGUCACUUUACUCGUACCGCAAUGCAUGAUCCUGUGAUCAAACACUUGAUCACCUUGAGCUCAUUACGAUGAUGCAUUACCGAGUGGGCCCAGAGAUACCUCUCCGUCAUACGGAGUGACAAAUCCCAGUCUCGAUCCGUGUCAACCCAACAGACACUUUCGGAGAUAGCUGUAAUGCACCUUUAUAGUCACCCAGUUACGUUGUGACGUUUGAUACACCCAAAGCACUCCUACGGUAUCCGGGAGUUACACGAUCUCAUGGUCGAAGGAAGAGAUACUUGACAUUGAAAAGCUCUAGCAAACGAACUAACCGACCUUUGUGCUAUGCUUAGGAUUGGGUCUUGUCCAUCACAUCAUUCUCCUAAUGAUGUGAUCCCGUUAUCAACGACAUCCAAUGUCCAUAGCCAGGAAACCAUGACUAUCUGUUGAUCACAACGAGCUAGUCAACUAGAGGCUCACUAGGGACAUAUUGAGGUCUAUGUAUUCACACGUGUAUUAUGAUUUCCGGAUAAUACAGUUAUAGCAUGAAUAAAAGACAAUUAUCAUGAACAAUGAAAUAUAAUAAUACUUUUAUUAUUGCCUCUAGGGCAUAUUUCCAACAGUCUCCCACUUGCACUAGAGUCACCAAUCUAGUUACAUUGUGAUGAAUCGAACACCCAUAGAGUUCUGGUGUUGAUCAUGUUUUGCUCGCGAGAGAGGUUUAGUCAACGGAUCUGCGACAUUCAGAUCCGUAUGUACUUUGCAAAUUUCUAUGUCUCCAUCUUGAACAUUUUCACGGAUGGAGUUGAAACGACGCUUGAUGUGCCUGGUCUUCUUGUGAAACCUGGGCUCCUUGGCAAGGGCAAUAGCUCCAGUGUUGUCACAGAAGAGUUUGAUUGGCCCCGACGCAUUGGGUAUGACUCCUAGGUCGGUGAUGAACUCCUUCACCCAAAUCGCUUCAUGCGCUGCCUCCGAGGCUGCCAUGUACUCUGCUUCACACGUAGAUCCCGCCACGACGCUCUGCUUGCAGCUGCACCAGCUUACUGCUCCACCAUUCAACAUAUACACGUAUCCGGUUUGUGACUUAGAGUCAUCCGGAUCAGAGUCGAAGCUAGCGUCGACGUAACCCUUUACGACGAGCUCUUCGUCUCCUCCAUAAACGAGAAACAUGUCCUUUGUCCUUUUCAGGUACUUCAGGAUAUUCUUGACCGCUGUCCAGUGUUCCUUGCCGGGAUUACCUUGGUAUCUUGCUACCAAACUUACGGCAAGGUUUACAUCAAGUCUGGUACACAGCAUGGCAUACAUAAUAGAUCCUAUGGCUGAAGCAUAGGGGAUGACACUCAUCUCUUCUAUAUCUUUUGCCGUGGUCGGUGACUGAGCCGAGCUCAAUCUCACACCUUGUAACAUAGGCAAGAACCCUUUCUUGGACUGAUCCAUUUUGAACCUUUUCAAAAUCUUAUCAAGGUAUGUGCUUUGGGAAAGACCUAUGAGGCGUCUCGAUCUAUCUCUAUCGAUCUUGAUGCCUAAUAUAUAAGCAGCUUCUCCAAGGUCCUUCAUUGAAAAACACUUAUUCAAGUAGGCCUUAAUGAUGUCCAAGAAUUCUAUAUCAUUUCCCAUCAGGAGUAUGUCAUCUACAUAUAAUAUGAGAAAUGCUACAGAGCUCCCACUCACUUUCUUGUAAACGCAGGCUUCUCCAUAAGUCUGCAUAAACCCAAAUGCUUUGAUCAUCUCAUCAAAGCGAAUGUUCCAACUCCGAGAUGCUUGCACCAGCCCAUAAAUGGAUCGCUGGAGCUUGCAUACUUUGUUAGCGUUCUUAGGAUCGAAAAAACCUUCCGGCUGCAUCAUAUACAGCUCUUCCUUAAGAUGCCCGUUAAGGGAUGCCGUUUUGACGUCCAUCUACCAUAUCUCAUAAUCAUAGUAUGCGGCAAUUGCUAACAUGAUUCGGACGGACUUAAGCUUCGCUACGGGAGAGAAAGUCUCAUCGUAGUCAAUCCCUUGAACUUGCCUAUAACCCUUAGCGACAAGUCGAGCUUUAUAGAUGGUGACAUUACCAUCCGUGUCCGUCUUCUUCUUAAAGAUCCAUUUGUUUUCUAUCGCUCGCCGAUCAUCGGGCAAGUCAGUCAAAGUCCAUACUUUGUUUUCAUACAUGGAUUCUAUCUCGGAUUUCAUGGCUUCUAGCCAUUUGUUGGAAUCUGGGCCCGCCAUCGCUUCUUCAUAGUUCGAAGGUUCACCGUUGUCUAACAACAUGAUUUCUAGGACAGGGUUGCCAUACCACUCUGGUGCGGAACGUGUCCUUGUGGACCUACGAAGUUCAGUAGCAACUUGAUCCGAAGUACCUUGAUCAUCAUCAUUGGUUUCCUCUUCAGUUGGUGUGGGCAUCACAGGAACAUUUUCUUGAGCUGCACCACUUUCCUGUUCAAGAGGUAGUACUUCAUCGAGUUCUACUUUCCUCCCACUUACUUCUUUCGAGAGAAACUCUUUUUCCAGAAAGGAUCCGUUCUUGGCGACAAAGGUCUUGCCCUCGGAUCUUAAGUAGAAGGUAUACCCAAUGGUUUCCUUAGGGUAUCCUAUGAAGACGCAUUUUUCCGACUUGGGUUCGAGCUUUUCAGGUUGAAGCAUCUCAUCCCCAAACUUUCAGAAAUGACAGCUUAGGUUUCUUCCCAAACCAUAAUUCAUACGGUGUCAUCUCAACGGAUUUAGACGGUGCCCUAUUUAAAGUGAAUGUAGCUGUCUCUAGAGCGUAUCCCCAAAAUGAUAGCGGUAAAUUGGUAAGGGACAUCAUAGACCGCACCAUAUCCAAUAGAGUGCGAUUACGACGUUCGGACACACCGUUACGCUGAGGUGUUCCAGGCGGCGUGAGUUGUGAAACGAUUCCACAUUUCCUUAAGUGUGUACCAAAUUCGUGACUUAAGUAUUCUCCUCCACGAUCUGAUCGUAAGAAUUUUAUCUUUCGGUCAUGUUGAUUCUCUACUUCAUUCUGAAAUUCCUUGAACUUUUCAAAGGUCUCAGACUUGUGUUUCAUCAAGUAGACAUACCCAUAUCUACUCAAGUCAUCUAUGAGAGUGAGAACAUAACGAUAUCCUCUGCGAGCCUUAACACUCAUUGGACCACACACAUCGGUAUGUAUGAUUUCCAACAAGUUGGUUGCUUGCUCCAUUGUUCCGGAGAACGGAGUCUUGGUCAUCUUGCCCAUGAGGCAGGGUUCGCAUGUGUCAAAUGAUUCAUAAUCAAGAGACUCUAAAAGUCCAUCAGCAUGGAGCUUCUUCAUGCGCUUGACACCAAUGUGACCAAGGCGGCAGUGCCACAAGUAUGUGGGACUAUCAUUAUCAACUUUACAUCUUUUGGUAUUCACGCUAUGAAUAUGUGUAGUAUUACGCUCGAGAUUCAUUAAGAAUAAACCAUUGACCAUCGCAGCAUGACCAUAAAACAUAUCUCUCAUAUAAAUUGAACAACCAUUAUUCUCAGACUUAAAUGAGUAGCCAUCUCGUAUUAAACGAGAUCCAGAUACAAUGUUCAUGCUCAAACUUGGCACUAAAUAACAAUUAUUAAGGUUCAAAACUAAUCCAGUGGGUAAAUGUAGAGGUAGCGUGCCGACGGCGAUCACAUCGACUCUGGAACCAUUUACGACACGCAUCGUCACCUCGUCCUUCGCCAGUCUCCGCUUAUUCCGCAGCCCCUGCUGUGAGUUACAAAUAUGAGCAACGGCACCGGUAUCAAAUACCCAGGAGUUACUACGAGUACUGGUAAGGUACACAUCAAUUACAUGUAUAUCGAAUAUACCUUUAGUGUUGCCGGCCUUCUUAUCCGCUAAGUAUUUGGGGCAGUUCCGCUUCUAGUGACCCUUCCCCUUGCAAUAAAAGCACUCAGUCUCAGGCUUGGGUCCAUUCUUUGACUUCUUCUCGGCAACUGGCUUACCGGGCGUGGCAACCUCUUUGCCGUCCUUCUUGAAGUUUUUCUUACCCUUGCCCUUCUUGAACUUAGUGGUCUUAUUGACCAUCAACACUUGAUGUUCUUUCUUGAUUUCAACCUCUGCUGACUUUAGCAUAGAAAAUACUUCAGGAAUGGUCUUUACCAUCCCCUGCAUAUUGUAGUUCAUCACAAAGCUCUUGUAGCUUGGUGGGAGCGACUGAAGGAUUCUGUCAAUGACUGCCUCAUCAGGGAGGUUAAUAUUCAGCUGGGUCAUACGGUUGUGCAACCCAGACAUCUUGAGUAUGUGCUCACUGACAGUCCUCCAUCUUACAACUAUAGAAUUUGUCGGAGAUGUCAUAUCUAUCGACCCGGGCGUGAGCUUGGAAAACUAGUUUCAGUUCCUCAAACAUCUCAUAUGCUCCAUGAUGCUCAAAACGCUUUUGGAGCCCCGGUUCUAAGCUGUAAAGCAUGCCGCACUGAACGAGGGAGUAAUCAUCAGCACGAGACUGCGAAGCAUUCAUAAUGUCUUGGUUCUCUGGGACGGGAGCGUCACCUAGCGGUCCUUCUAGGACAUAUUGUUUCCUGGCAGCUAUGAGGAUGAUCCUCAGGUUCCGGACCCAGUCCGUAUAGUUGCUGCCAUCAUCUUUCAGCUUGGUUUUCUCUAGGAACGCGUUGAAGUUCAUGUUGACAUGAGCGUUGGCCAUUUGAUCUACAAGACAUAUUUGCAAAGGUUUUAGACUAAGUUCAUGAUAAUUAAGUUCUAAUCAAAUUAUGAACUCCCACUCAGAUUAGACAUCCCUCUAGUCAUCUAAGUGUUACACGAUCCGAGUCGACUAGCCCGUGUCCGAUCAUCACGUGAGACGGACUAAUCAUCAUCGGUGAACAUUCUCAUGUUGAUCGUAUCUUCCAUACGACUCGUGUUCGACCUUUCGGUCUCCGUGUUCCGAGGCCAUGUCUGUACAUGCUAGGCUCGUCAAGUUAACCCUAAGUGUUUUUGCUGUGUAAAACUGUCUUACACCCGUUGUAUGUGAAUGUAAGAAUCCAUCACACCCGAUCAUCACGUGGUGCUUAGAAGCGACGAACUUUAGCAACGGUGCACAGUUUGGGGAGAACACUUCUUGAAAUUGUUGUAAGGGAUCAUCUUAUUUACUACCGUCGUCCGAAGUAAACAAGAUGCAUAAAACAUAAUAAACAUCACAUGCAAUUAUAUAAAGUAGUGACAUGAUAUGGCCAAUAUCAUAUAGCUCCUUUGAUCUUCAUCUUCGGGGCUCCAUGAUCAUCUUGUCACUGGCAUGACACCAUGAUCUCCAUCAUCAUGAUCUCCAUCAUCGUGUCUUCAUGAAGUUGUCACGCCAACGACUACUUCUACUUCUAUGACUAACGCGUUUAGCAAUAAAGUAAAGUAAGUUACAUGGCGUUCUUCAAUGACACGCAGGUCAUACAAAAAAUAAAGACAACUCCUAUGGCUCCUGCCGGUUGUCAUACUCAUCGACAUGCAAGUCGUGAAUCCUAUUACAAAGAACAUGAUCUCAUACAUCACAAUUCAUCAUUCAUCGCAACUUCUGGCCAUAUCACAUCACAUGAUCAAUCGCUGCAAAAACAAGUUAGACGUCCUCUAAUUGUCGUUGCAUCUUUUACGUGGCUGCAAUUGGGUUCUAGCAAGAACGUUUUCUUACCUACGAAUAACCACAACGUGAUUUUGUCAACUUCUAUUUACCCUUCAUAAGGACCCUUUUCAUCGAAUCCACUUCAACUAAAGUGGGAGAGACAGACACCCGCCAGCCACCUUAUGCAACUAGUGCAUGUCAAUCGGUGGAACCGGUCUCACGUAAGUGUACGUGUAAGGUUGGUCCGGGCCGCUUCAUCCCACAAUGUCGUUGAAGCAAGAAAAGACUAGUAGUGGCAAGUAAGUUGACAAGAUCCACGCCCACAACAAAAUUGUGUUCUACUCGUGCAAAGAGAACUACGCAUAGACCUAGCUCAUGAUGCCACUGUUGGGGAACGUUGCAGAAAAUUAAAAUUUUUCCCACGGUUUCAGCAAGAUCCAUCUAUGAGUUCAUCUAAGCAACGAGUCAAGGGGAAGAGUUUGCAUCUACAUACCACUUGUAGAUUGAGUGCGGAAGCGUUCAAGGGGAUGGUGAUGAUGGAGUCGUACUCGUCGUGAUUCGGAUCACCGAUGACCAAGUGCUGAACGGGCAGCACCUCCGCGUUCAACACACGUACGGGGCGGACGACGUCUCCUCCUUCUUGAUCCAGCAAGGAGGGAGGAGAGGUUGAGGAAGGCAGCUCCAACGGCAGCACGACGGCAUGGUGUAGUUGGUGCAGCAGUACUCCGACAGAGCUUCGCCAAGCACGUAUGGAGGAGGAGAGGUGUUGGGGAGGGGAGGGGCUGCGCCUUGGCUUGUAGUACCGCAGCCCUCCCCUCACCCCUCUAUAUAUAGGAGGAGAGGGGCAAGGGGGCCGGCCCUCUAGGGGAAACCCUAGAGGGGGGCGGCGGCCAAAGGGUGGGGGGCUUGCCCCCAAGCAAGGGGGGUGCGCCCCCUUUAGGGUUUCCCCUCCCCUUGCCCUAGCCGCAUGGGCCUAGGUGGGGAGGCGCGCCCAGCCCACUAGGGGCUGGCUCCCUCUCCCACACAGCCCAUGUGGCCCCCCCGGGAGGGGUGGCCCCACCCUAUGGACCCCCGGAACCCUUCCGGUGGCCCCAGUACAAUACCGGUAUGCCACCGAAAUUUUCCGUUGUCCAUUUAACCACUUUCCAUAUAUAAAUCUUUACCUCCGGACCAUUCCGGAACUCCUCGUGACGUCCGGGAUCUCAUCCGGGACUCCGAACAACAUUCGGUAAUCACAUACAAGUCUUCCUAAUAACCCUAGCGUCACCGAACCUUAAGUGUGUAGACCCUACGGGUUCGGGAGACAUGGAGACAUGACCGAGACUCUCCGGUCAAUAACCAACAGCGGGAUCUGGAUACCCAUGUUGGCUCCCACAUGCUCCUCGAUGAUGUCAUCGGAUGAACCACAAUGUCGAGGAUUCGAUCAAACCCCGUAUACAAUUCCCUUUGUCAAUCGGUACGUUACAUGCCCGAGACUCGAUCGUCGGUAUCCCAAUACCUCGUUCAGUCUCGUUACCGGCAAGUCACUUUACUCGUACCGCAAUGCAUGAUCCUGUGAUCAAACACUUGAUCACCUUGAGCUCAUUAUGAUGAUGCAUUACCGAGUGGGCCCAGAGAUACCUCUCCGUCAUACGGAGUGACAAAUCCCAGUCUCGAUCCGUGUCAACCCAACAGACACUUUCGGAGAUACCUGUAAUGCACCUUUAUAGUCACCCAGUUACGUUGUGACGUUUGAUACACCCAAAGCACUCCUACGGUAUCCGGGAGUUACACGAUCUCAUGGUCGAAGGAAGAGAUACUUGACAUUGAAAAGCUCUAGCAAAUGAACUAACCGACCUUUGUGCUAUGCUUAGGAUUGGGUCUUGUCCAUCACAUCAUUCUCCUAAUGGUGUGAUCCCGUUAUCAACGACAUCCAAUGUCCAUAGCCAGGAAACCAUGACUAUCUGUUGAUCACAACGAGCUAGUCAACUAGAGGCUCACUAGGGACAUAUUGAGGUCUAUGUAUUCACACGUGUAUUAUGAUUUCCGGAUAAUACAGUUAUAGCAUGAAUAAAAGACAAUUAUCAUGAACAAUGAAAUAUAAUAAUACUUUUAUUAUUGCCUCUAGGGCAUAUUUCCAACAAUUCGCACACCGAUGGCUAGUGGGUGUCUGUUUCUCCAGCUUUAGUGGAAUCGGAUUCAAUGAACAGGUUUCUUUCUGAAGAUAAAAAAGCAAUCACUAUACCGUGUUGUGGUUUUUGAUAGGUAGGUUAGAACGGUUCUUGCUCAGCCUGUUGCAGCCACGUAAAACUUGCAACAACGAAGUAGAGGACGUCUAACUUGUUUUUGCAGGGCAUGUUGUGAUGUGAUAUGGUCAAGACGUGAUGAGAUAUAAAUUUUUGUAUCAUAUGAUCAUGUUUUGUUAAAGUUAUCGGCAACUGGCAGAAGCCUAGUACUUGUCUCUUUAUUGCAUAAGAUGCGAGUGGCAUGUAAAUUGCUUUACUUUAUCGCUAUGCGAUAGCAAUAGUUGCAAAAGCAAUAGUUGGCAAGAUGAUCAUGUCACGACACAUUGAUAGAGAUCAAGAUGAUGGAUAUCAUGGUGUCAUGCCAGUGAUGAUGGAGAUCAUGACAAUACUUUGGAGAUGGAGAUCAAAGGCGCAAGAUGAUCAUGGCCAUAUCAUGUCACAUAUUUUGAUUGCAUGUGAUGUUAUCCUUUAUGCAUCUUAUUCUGCUUUGUUUGACAGUAGCAAUAUAAGAUGAUCCCUCACUAAAUUUCAAGGUAAAAGUGUUCUCCCUGAGUAUGCACCAUUGCCAAAGUUCGUCGUGCCGAGACACCACGUGAUGAUCGGGUGUGAUAAGCUCAAAGUUCAUCUACAACGGGUGUAAGACCGUUUUACACAUGCAGAAUACUCGGGUUAAACUUGACGAGCCUAGCAUAUGUAGAUAUGGCCUCGGAACACUGGAGACCGAAAGUUCGAGCAUGAAUCAUAUAGUAGAUAUGAUCAACAUAGUGAUGUUCACCAUUGAAAACUACUCCAUCUCACGUGAUGGCCGGACAUGGUUUAGUUGAUUUGGAUCAUGUGAUCAUUUAGAUGACUAGAGGGAAGUCUAUCUAAGUGGGAGUUCUUAAGUAAUAUGAUUAAUUGAACUUUAAUUUAUGAUGAACGUAGCUCCCCGUUUAUUUUGAUAUGUUCCUAGAGAAAAACUAAGUUGAAAGAUGUUAGUAGCAAUGAUGCAGAUUGGAUCCGUGAUCUGAGGAUUCUCCUCAUUGCCGCACAGAAGAAUUAUGUCCUUGAUGCACCGCUAGGUGACAGACCGAUUGUAGGAGCAGAUGCAGACGUUAUGAACGUUUGGCGGGCUCGAUAUGAUGACUACUUGAUACUUUAGUGCACCAUGCUUUACGGCUUAGAAUCGGGGCUUCAAAGACGUUUUGAAGGCCAUGGAACAUAUAAGAUGGUCUAAGAGUUAAAAUUGGUAUUUCAUACUCAUGCCCGUGUCGAGAGGUAUGAGACCUCUGACAAGCACUUUGCCUAUAAGAUGGAGGAGAAUAGUUCAGCUAGUGAGCAUGUGCUCAGAAUGUCUGAGUACUACUAUCACUUGAAUCAAGUGGGAGUUAAUCUUCCAGAUAAGAUAGUGAUUGACAGAGUUCUCUAGUCACUAUCACCAAGUUACUAGAACUUCGUGAUGAACUAUAAUAUGCAAGGGAUAACAGAAACAAUUUCCAAGCUCUUUGUGAUGCUGAAAUCGACGAAGGUAGAAAUCAAGAAAAGCAUCAAGUGUUGAUGGUUGACAAGACCACUAGUUUCAAGAAAAGGGCAAAGGGAAGAAGGGGAAAUUCAAGAAGAACGACAAGCAAGUUGUUGCUCAAGUGAAGAAGCCCAAGUCUAGACCUAAGCCUGAGACUAAGUGCUUCUACUGCAAAGGGACUGGUCACUGGAAGCAGAACUGCCCCAAGUAUUUGGCAGAUAAGAAGGAUGGCAAAGUGAACAAAGGUAUAUUUGACAUGCAUGUUAUUGAUGUGUACUUUACUAGUGUUUAUAGAAACCCCUCAGUAUUUGAUACUAGUUCAAUUUCGGAGAUUAGUAACUCAAAACGGGAGUUGCAGAAUGAACAGAGACUAGUCAAGGGUGAAGUGACGAUGUGUGUUGGAAGUGGUUCCAAGAUUGAUAUGAUAAUCAUCGCACACUCUCUAUACUUUCAGGAUUAGUGUUGAACCUAAAUAAAUGUUAUUUACGUUAAGCAUGAAUAUGAUUUGAUCAUGUUUAUUGCAAUACGGUUAUUCAUUUAAAGUUAGAGAAUAAUUGUUGUUAUGUUUACAUGAAUAAAACCAUCAAAGAUCAUACACCCAAGGUGAAUGGUUUAUUGAAUCUCGAUCGUAGUGAUACACAUAUUCAUAAUAUUGAAGCCAAAAGAUGCAAAGUUAAUAAUGAUAGUGCAACUUAUUUGUGGCACCACCGUUUGGUUCAUAUUGUUGUAAAGUGCAUGAAGAAAAUCCAUGCUGAUGGGCUUUUGGAAUCACUUGAUUAUGAAUCAGUUGAUGCUUGCGGACCAUGCCUCAUGGGCAAGAUGACUAAGACUCCGUUCUCUGGAACAAUGGAGCAAGCAACAGACUUGUUGGAAAUAAUACAUACUGAUGUAUGCAGUCCGAUGAGUGUUGAGGCUUGCGGCGGGUAUCGUUAUUUUCUGAUCUUCAUAGAUGAUUUUAGUAGAUAUGGGUAUAUCUACUUGAUGAAACAUAAGUCUGAAACAUUUGAAAAGUUCAAAGAAUUUCAGAGUGAAGUGGAAAAUCAUCGUAACAAGAAAAUAAAGUUUCUACAAUCUGAUUGUAGAGGAGAAUAUUUGAGUUACGAGUUUGGUCUUCAUUUGAAACAAUCCGGAAUAGUUUUGCAACUCACGCCACCUAGAACACCACAGCAUAAUGGUGUGUCCGAACGUCAUAACCGUACUUUAUUAGAUAUGGUGCAAUCUAUGAUGUCUCUUAUCAAUUUACCACUGUCGUUUUGGGGUUAUGCAUUAGAGACAGCUACAUUCACGUUAAAUAGGGCACCGUCUAAAUCCAUUGAGACGACACCGUAUGAACUAUGGUUUGGCAAGAAACCUAAGCUAUCGUUUCUUAAAGUUUGAGGUUGCAAUGCUUAUGUGAAAAAGUUUCAACCUGAUAAGCUCAAACCCAAAUCGGAGAAGUGCGUCUUCAUAGGAUACCCAAAAGAAAAUGUUCGGUACACCUUCUAUCACAGAUCCGAAGGCAAGAUCUUUGUUGCUAAGAAUGGAUCCUUUCUAGAGAAGGAGUUUAUCUCGAAAGAAGUGAGUGGGAGGAAAGUAGAGCUUGAUGAGGUAAUUGUACCUACUCCCUUAUGGAAAGUAGUCCAUCACAGAAAUCUGUUCCUGUGACUCCUACACCAAUUAGUGAGGAAGCUAUUGAUGAUGAUCAUGUAACUUCAGAUCAAGUUACUACCGAACCUCGUAGGUGAACCAGAGUGAGAUGCGCACCAGAGUGGUACAGUAAUCCUGUUCCAGAGGUCAUGUUACUUGACCAUGACGAACCUACGAACUAUGAGGAAGCGAUGAUGAGCCCAAAUUCCGCGAUAUGGCUUGAGGCCGUGAAAUCUGAGAUGGGAUCCAUGUAUGAGAACAAAGUGUGGACUUUGGUUGACUUGCCCGAUGAUCGGCAAGCCAUAAAAAAAUAAAUGUAUCUUCAAGAGGAAGACGGACGCUGAUAGUAGUGUUACUAUAUACAAAGCUGGACUUUUCAAAAAAGGUUUUUGACAAAGUUCAAGGUGUUGACUACGAUGAGAUUUUCUCACUCGAAGCGAUGCUUAAGUCUGUCCGAAUCAUGUUAGCAAAUAGCCACAUUUUAUGAAAUCUGGCAAAUGGAUGUCAAAACUACAUUCCUUAAUGGAUUUAUUAAAGAAGAGUUGUAUAUGGUGCAACCCGAAGUUUUGUCGAUCCUAAAGGUGCUAACAAAAUGUGCAAGCUCCAACGAUCCAUCUAUGGACUGGUGCAAGCAUCUCGGAUUUGGAAUAUACGCUUUGAUGAGUUGAUCAAAGCAUAUAGUUUUAUACAGACUUGCGAUGAAGCCUGUAUUUACAAGAAAGUGAGUGGGAGCACUACAACAUUUCUGAUAAGUAUAUGUGAAUGAAAUUAAUUGGAAAUAAUGUAGAAUUUUUUGGAAGGCAUAGAGGAGUAUUCGAAAUGAGUUUUUCGAAGAAAGACCUCGAUGAAGCUGCUUACACAUUGAGCAUCAAGAUCUAUAGAGAUAGAUCAAGACGCUUGAUAUUUUUUUUCAAUGACUACAUACCUUGACAAGAUUUUGAAGUAGUUCAAAAUGGAAUAGUCAAAGAAGGAUUUCUUGCCUGUGUUGCAAGGUGUGAAGUUGAGUAAGACUCAAAGCCCGACCACGGUACAAGAUAGAGAGAGAAUGAAAGUCAUUCCCUAUGCCUCAGCCAUAGGUUCUAUAAAGUAUGCCAUGCUGUGUACCAGACCUAUUGUAUACCCUACACUGAGUUUGGCAAGGGAGUACAAUUGUGAUCUAGGAGUAGAUCACUAGACAGCGGUCAAAAUAAUCCUUAGUGGAAUAAGGAUAUGUUUCUCGAUUAUGGAGGUGACAAAAGGUUCGUCGUAAAGGGUUACGUCGAUGCAAGUGUUGACACUAAUCCAGAUGACUCUAAGUCUCAAUCUGGAUACAUAUUGAAAGUAGGAGCAAUUAGCUAGAGUAGCUACGUGCAGAGCAUUGUUGACAUAGAAAUUUGCAAAAUACAUACGGAUUUGAAUAUGGCAGACCCGUUGACUAAACUUCUAUCACAAACAAAACAUGAUCACACCUUAGUACUCUUCGGGUGUUAAUCACAUGGCGAUGUGACUAAGAUUACUGACUCUAGUAAACCCUUUGAGUGUUGGUCACAUGGCGAUGUGAACUAUGGGUGUUAAUCACAUGGUGAUGUGAACUAUUGGUGUUAAAUCACAUUGCAAUGUGAACUAGAUUAUUGACUCUAGUGCAAGUGGGAGACUGAAGGAAAUAUGCCCUAGAGGCAAUAAUAAAGUUAUUAUUUAUUUCCUUAUUUCAUGAUAAAUAUUUAUUAUUCAUGCUAGAAUUGUAUUAAACGGAAACAUAAUACAUGUGUGAAUACAUAAACAAACAAAGUGUCACUAGUAUGCCUCUACUUGACUAGCUCAUUGAUCAAAGAUGGUUAUGUUUCCUAAACCAUAGACAUGAGUUGUCAUUUGAUAAACGGGAUCACAUCGUUAGGAUAACAAUGUGAUUGACUUGACCCAUUCCGUUAGCUUAGCACUUGAUCAUUUUAGUUUACUGCUAUUGCUUUCUUCAUGACUUAUACAUGUUCUUAUGACUAUGAGAUUAUGCAACUCACGAUUACCAGAGGAACACUUUGUGUGCUACCAAACGUCACAAUGUAACUGUGUGAUUAUAAAGGUGCUCUAUAGGUGUCCUCGAUGGUACUUGUUGAGUUGGCAUAGAUCGAGAUUAUGAUUUGUCACUCCGAUUGUCGGAGAGGUAUCUCUGGGCCCUCUCGGUAAUGCACAUCACAAUAACCUUGCAAGCAAAGCAACUAAUGAGUUAGUUGCGGGAUAGUGCAUUACAUAACGAGUAAAGAGACUUUCCGUUAAUGAGAUUUAAUUAGGUAUUUAGAUACUGAUGAUCGAAUCUUGGGCAAGUAACAUGCUGAUGACAAAGGGAACAACAUAUGUUGUUAUGCGGUUUGACCGAUAAAGAUCUUCGUAGAAUAUGUAGGAGCCAAUAUGAACAUCUAGGUUCCGCUAUUGGUUAUUGAACAGAGACGUGUCUCGGUCAUGUCUACAUAGUUCUCGAACCCAUAGGGUCCGCACGCUUAACGUUUGACGAUUGGUAUUAUGAUUUUAUGUGAUUUGAUGUACCAAAAGUAAUUCGGAGUCUCGGAUGAGAUUGGGGACAUGACGAGGAGUCUCGAAAUAGUCGAGACGUAAAGAUCGAUAUAUUGGACGACUAUAUUCGGACAUCGGAAAGGUUCUGAGUGAUUCAGGUAUUUUUCGAAGUACCGUGGAGUUAUGGGAAUACGGGGAAGAAGUAUUGGGCCUCAUGGGCCAAGUGGUGGAAGAUAGGAGGCAAGGCGCACGCCCCUCUAGCCCAAGCCGAAUUGGACUAGGGGGCCGGCCCCCCUUUCCUCCUUUCCCCCCUCUCCUUCCCUCUCCCCUUCCCCCUUCCUUUCCUCCUUCUAGUAGGAGUAGGAAAGGGGAGUCCUACUCCUACUAGGAGGAGGACUCCUCCUCCUGGCGCACCCUAGGAGGGCCGGCCGGCCUCCCCCUUGCUCCUUUAUAUACGGGGGCAGAUGGGCACCCGAGGACACAGAAGUUGAUCAUUGAUCCCUUAGCCGUGUGUGGUGCCCCCCUCCACCAUAAUCCACCUCGAUCAUAUCGUAGCGGUGCUUAGGCGAAGCCCUGUGUCAGUAGCAACAUCAUCACCGUCAUGACGCCGUCGUGCUGACGGAACUCUCCCGUGAAGCUAUGUUGAAUCAGAAUUCGUGGAAUGUCAUCGAGUUGAACGUGUGCUGAACUCGGAGGUGCCGUGCGUUAGGUACUUGGAUUGGUCGGAUCAUGAAGACGUAUGACUACAUCAACCGUGUUCUCAUAACGCUUCCACUUACGGUCUACGAGGGUACGUGGGCGAUACUCUUCCCUCUCGUUGCUAUGCAUCACCAUGAUCUUGCGUGUGAGUAGGAAAUUUUGAAAUUACUACGUUCCCCAACACCCACCACAUCUAUGAUGAUAUCGGGUUUUGUCAUAAUUAUCAUCAUAGAAGUGUCAUAAGCAUGACAAUUUUUUUCGUCCGACCCAAAAUUUCACGGAUGUGUCUUUUGUUUUGUAGUGCAUUCCAGUGGCAAGCUAUACUUUCUACCCGUCACAGGUAGGUUCUUCCAAAUAAGCCCAUUGGCUCAAUAGUGCAGUGGCGGGCGGCAUCUCCCUAGUAUGUGGCUGGUGGUGUGCAGCGCUCGUCACAACUCUAGAUUGGAAAACCGUGCCAAACACAUCCAAAAUUUGUUAAUAUUUGUGGUGGCGGGCACACUAAUACGCCCACCACAACUAUUCUGCUUGGUGCCAGGAGAAUCGUCAUGCCCGCAUAUAUUUUUGGUUUUCCCCUCAUUCACUCACCCAGUCAGUUCCUCUUCUCCCUCUACCACUUCUACGCCGUAGUGCGCCCCGCCUGCCACUAUCGUCAUGCCUCUGACCCGCACCAACGCUGGAUCUUCUAGAUGGACCGUCCUUCUCCGCGGCCAUCACUGGAUCUGCUCGCUGUUCACCUCCGACCCGCGACGCCGCAAGAUUUGCUCGCCGCCAUCCACCUCGACCGCCGCCACCGUUGUCCGACUCGACCGACCGCCACCAUCAUCUGCCUCGACCGCCGUUGCCAUCGUCCACCUCGACCUCCACCGCCGUCAUCCGCCUCGACCAUCGCUACAGGUGUAAUAAUUUCGUGUUCUUCUAUGUUAAUUACCUUCUUGAUUUGAAAUGGAAAUUUAUAGAUCUAGGAUCAAAGUAAGAACCCCAUGGAUAAUAGAACAAAAAUGCGAUAUUUUUUAUAUAGUAGACCAAAAUGUAAUACCUUUUGCGUGUCAGUAAAGAUGAAAUCUAUGAUCAAGGUGCUUUAGGAUUGGUUAGACUCUAAAUAUGACAAGUGGCAAAUUUGACAACUGGUUGGGCUUAUUAGAGACUUGAACAUGAGUGCCAACGUUUUGGUGAAACAUUGAUUAACUUCCAUCCCAUCAAAGUUUUGGUACUCAAUAUAUUCAAUAUUAAGCAAAGGUCCUGCCGAAUUUUUGUGUUCUUCGGUGUUAGCUUAUUUAUUUGAAGGGAUGGGGUUGCAUUCGGGUCAUCAAACCAUUUACAAUUAAUCACUACGUCAGAUUGAUUAUUAGGGACCAUGAGGCGUAAGGUCUGCAAGGUCUACCAAAUUCAUGUAUGUACAGUCUUGAAACUGCAGUGCAGUGCAGGUAUUUUUUAGAAAGGGAUUUAAAAAAAUCUAUGGUAACAGUCUUUAACUUGAAUUUGUACUGAAUUCUGAUUAUUUUUUAACAGUUUUACCGAUUACUAACUGCCGCAUAGUGUGUCCCAUGCAACAUAAGGGAGGACUUCAACAAUUCAUAUGGUAACGUGUUGUACUUUGAGGAUGAUGAGGAACGCGAAACUGAAUUGAAUCUGCGUAAAGGAAAGAAUAAAACCAUCAUAUAUGGUGAUGGAUCGGAGUAGUACAUUGCAGUGAACAAUUUUAAAGGAGGAGAACUCAUAGGCUUUUCCUUAAAAGGAGAAGUGAAUAGGUUAAGGGCAUUAUAUGUUGACAAUGAUGAUGAUGACGAUGACCAAGAUGACCAGGAUGAUGAAGAUGAGGAUGACCAAGAUGACCAGGAUGAUGAAGAUGACCAAGAUGACCAGGAUGAUGAAGAUGAAGAUGAGGACAUCCAAGAUGAAGAUGAGGACAACCAAGAUGAAGAUGAGGACAUCAAAGAUGAAGAUGAUGGUCCUAUCCUUUCUGGAUUUUUUUCUCAAAGGAUCAAGAAGCUUACUCGGGACAAGACAGCUAAUGUGAAGGUAAUAUCACCAUCCUCUUUGGCCUUCUUGGGGAAGCCCUUUGUGCAACAUCUAACAAAAACCAACAUGAUCAAAAAAAUUAUGGUGAGAUGUUUUAUAUUCUUUCAUCUCUUUUUGGUCAUAACCAAGUAUGGUGAGAUCUCUAACAUUGCAUGCUUUCUAUUUUAUCUUAAU
rnacentral:lncRNA from 1 species